UACGUAGGGGGCAAGCGUUGUCCGGAAUUAUUGGGCGUAAAGGGCGCGUAGGCGGUCUGAUAAGUCGGUUGUGAAAGUCGGGGGCUCAACCCUCGGAUGCCGAUCGAUACUGUCAGGCUAGAGUCCGGAAGAGGCGAGUGGAAUUCCUGGUGUAGCGGUGAAAUGCGCAGAUAUCAGGAAGAACACCCGUGGCGAAGGCGGCUUUCUGGGACGGUACUGACGCUGAGACGCGAAAGCGUGGGGAGCGAACAGG
rnacentral:rRNA from 1 species